UUGAGAGAGGGAGGUAGCAGCCGGAGAAUUGGGGGAAAAAAGAAAAAAAACAAGGGAAAAGGAAGGGUUUCUUUUGGGGACGGCACCAUAAAAGAGGAGAAGAAGGUUUGAUAGAAAAAGAAUCGGAGAGGAGAGGGAAUCGCCGCACAAGUCAAAGACAAGAGAAGAACUAGAAGAAAAGAAGCCACAAAGGAUCAACAGAAGGUCUACAUUUGAGUAUUCAAUUCUACCCAUUCUUAUGUUUGAUUUGUUGGGUUUGGAUCGGGUUUGACCCUACUUGGGCCGGAGGGCAUACUUAGAGGAUUUGGAUCGGGUUGGAGCAAUGGGCCUCGCGGGCAAUAUUGGGUUUUUGUACAUUUGUAUAAAUUUCAUUUUUUAAUUUUAUUAUUUGUCAUGUAUUCUUGUAAAAUGUAAGUCUUGUAAUAGUGUAGCAAAAAUAGUGGAUGUAAAAUAGAAAAUGCAUACAUGAUAUUCUAGGAUGUUAGAAGCAUAUAGAAAUGAGGAAUUGAUUUCGUGAAUGAUGAUGGCAUUAGAAUGCAUGCUUAGGA